CGAUGCUGCAUCGGCAACAAGAGGUUAGGGAUUCGUUCAUUGCAGCGAGCGUGAGAAGGCCAAGUUCAUCAGCCUUAUAUGGCGCUACCUCUGGUCUUUCAUGUGCAGCUGCCAAUGAUGUGGUAUUGACGAUGGUUAUGCACAUACGUUCUAGAGGCUGCUGUUCUCAGUAACAAUGUGAAGCAUGAACAGUUGGUACAUGAUGUCCACCCAGGUGUGAGCUAGGUGGAGGCGUGAAUUGAGCGAAGGCUGGCGGCGCGGAAGCGAGCGUUGGUCACGGGCGCA